AAUUUACUUAGAAUUUUGUCUGCAAAUGUUUAUUGAAAACAAACACAUAAAAACUUUAUUGAUAUUCUUCAGACCCUUUUUACAAAAGUGUAGUGACCAUGUUCAUUGAGUAUUGCUGUCUUCAUAGCCUGGAGCCGGGACUUCUGAAAAACAUAUUUACACAAGUUCACAUCAAUUCUUAGGAAAUCAGGUUGUGGAAAUUAUCCUACCAGGUAGGAUAAAAGACAGCCAAAGGUGGUAGAUACGCAACUUAGUCACUUGACUCCAUUGCAUUCUGCAUCUAACAACUCUGUGUCUCCAGAACAGAAGAGGAUGAAGACCCUCAGUGUGAUAGUGAUGUUUGCACUCCUGGGUGUCCUGUUGGCAAACCCUCCCAACGAGGUUAAUCUGGAGGAAGAUUCUCUGCCUCAAGAAGACAACAUGGCUCAAUAUGAUAAACCUCUGUCUCAAGAAGAUGAACUGGCUCAAUCUGACGAUUCGCUGUCUCAGGAGGACAACGACGGUCAAAAUGACGUGGCAGUUGCAACAAAAUUACUGCAGGAGAUCCAGAACCCUCCCCCAGGCGUAAAGUUGCAAAGUCUUUGUUGGCGAAGACGUUGGUUCUCAUACAGAUUUCUCAGGGGCUUCUAUCCCUACAGUUGGCGCCGCUAUUACCGCUGUUUCUGGUAUUGAGGAUCCUCUCCAGUCUCCAUAUGAAAUGUACCACAAUGGAACUCACACGUCUCCUGACAUCACCUCUCACCAACCUGAUGUAUCAACAACCUCUUAGACUCACAUCAUCACUAUAUCUACUGAUUAAUGUCUGCAAAACCAGACCUUUACGUCACCUUUUCUCGGUCUGUAUUGAUACUAAAACAAUGAUGAUAGAUGAUGAACACUGACUAUGUGAAGACAUGGUGGUAAUGUUGUAUGGCUGAUCUGUCAAACUGCAAACCUUUAAUAAACAUUUAUCAAGCAUCAUACAUUAUCAGCUGUGCUUAAUGAUUUGCCCAAUAUUUACAACCCCAUUUUCAAAAAAGUUGGGACACUGUGUAAAAUGUAAAGAAAAACAGAAUGCAAUGAUGUCCAAAUAAUGUAAAGCCUAUUUUCAAUAGAAAAUAGUAACAAGACAACAUAUCAAAUGUUGAAACUGAGAAAUGUUAUUGUUUCUUGGUAUAAUACAUGCUCACUUUGAAUAUGAUGCCAGCAGCACGUUUCCAAAAAGCUGGGACAGAGACACCAAAAGACUGGAAACAUGUAAUGCUAAAAACUUAAAACUGUUGGAAUAUCACACAACUAAUUAGGUCAGUUGGCAACAGGUCUGUAACAUGAUUGAGAACCUGGAGUAAUCUCUGUAGGCAAAAACCAAUACUGGAUGGCCGUGAUCUUCGGGCCCUCAGGCUCUGUAGUGAAAGAACUGGGUGCUAAACUGGCUUGUCUACCGUCCAGACAUGUCCCCUAAUUAAAAUAUUUGUUGUAUUAGGAAAUGACAAAUAGAGCAAAAAGGACCCCGAACUCUUAUAUUGAGAAUGAAUGGGAAAACAUUUCACUUUCAAAACUACAGCAAUUGGCAUCCUCAGUUCCCAAUUGCUUUACAAAAUAUUGUUAAAAGAAAAGAUGAUGCAACACAGUGUUAAACACGGCCGUCCCAACUCUUUUGAAAUAUGGUUGCUGCUGGCAUCAAAUUCAAA
rnacentral:lncRNA from 1 species